UACGGGGGGGGGCAAGCGUUGUUCGGAAUUACUGGGCGUAAAGCGUGCGCAGGCGGUUUUGUAAGCCAGAUGUGAAAUCCCCGGGCUUAACCUGGGAAUGGCAUUUGGGACUGCAAGGCUCGAGUGCGGCAGAGGAGACUGGAAUUCCUGGUGUAGCAGUGAAAUGCGUAGAUAUCAGGAGGAACACCGAUGGCGAAGGCAGGUCUCUGGGCUGACACUGACGCUCAUGCACGAAAGCGUGGGGAGCAAACAGG
rnacentral:rRNA from 1 species